rnacentral:rRNA from 1 species
CAGUCGCCGCGGUAAUACGUAGGGUGCAAGCGUUAAUCGGAAUUACUGGGCGUAAAGCGUGCGCAGGCGGUUCGGAAAGAAAGAUGUGAAAUCCCAGAGCUUAACUUUGGAACUGCAUUUUUAACUACCGGGCUAGAGUGUGUCAGAGGGAGGUGGAAUUCCGCGUGUAGCAGUGAAAUGCGUAGAUAUGCGGAGGAACACCGAUGGCGAAGGCAGCCUCCUGGGAUAACACUGACGCUCAUGCACGAAAGCGUGGGGAGCAAACAGGAUUAGAUACCCCAGUAGUCCCUGUCUCUUAUAC